rnacentral:rRNA from 1 species
UUAAGCGACUAAGCGUACACGGUGGAUGCCCUGGCAGUCAGAGGCGAUGAAGGACGUGCUAAUCUGCGAUAAGCGUCGGUAAGGUGAUAUGAACCGUUAUAACCGGCGAUUUCCGAAUGGGGAAACCCAGUGUGAUUCGUCACACUAUCAUUAACUGAAUCCAUAGGUUAAUGAGGCGAACCGGGGGAACUGAAACAUCUAAGUACCCCGAGGAAAAGAAAUCAACCGAGAUUCCCCCAGUAGCGGCGAGCGAACGGGGAGCAGCCCAGAGCCUGAAUCAGUGUGUGUGUUAGUGGAAGCGUCUGGAAAGGCGCGCGAUACAGGGUGACAGCCCCGUACACAAAAAUGCACAUGCUGUGAGCUCGAUGAGUAGGGCGGGACACGUGGUAUCCUGUCUGAAUAUGGGGGGACCAUCCUCCAAGGCUAAAUACUCCUGACUGACCGAUAGUGAACCAGUACCGUGAGGGAAAGGCGAAAAGAACCCCGGCGAGGGGAGUGAAAAAGAACCUGAAACCGUGUACGUACAAGCAGUGGGAGCACGCUUAGGCGUGUGACUGCGUACCUUUUGUAUAAUGGGUCAGCGACUUAUAUUCUGUAGCAAGGUUAACCGAAUAGGGGAGCCGAAGGGAAACCGAGUCUUAACUGGGCGUUAAGUUGCAGGGUAUAGACCCGAAACCCGGUGAUCUAGCCAUGGGCAGGUUGAAGGUUGGGUAACACUAACUGGAGGACCGAACCGACUAAUGUUGAAAAAUUAGCGGAUGACUUGUGGCUGGGGGUGAAAGGCCAAUCAAACCGGGAGAUAGCUGGUUCUCCCCGAAAGCUAUUUAGGUAGCGCCUCGUGAAUUCAUCUCCGGGGGUAGAGCACUGUUUCGGCAAGGGGGUCAUCCCGACUUACCAACCCGAUGCAAACUGCGAAUACCGGAGAAUGUUAUCACGGGAGACACACGGCGGGUGCUAACGUCCGUCGUGAAGAGGGAAACAACCCAGACCGCCAGCUAAGGUCCCAAAGUCAUGGUUAAGUGGGAAACGAUGUGGGAAGGCCCAGACAGCCAGGAUGUUGGCUUAGAAGCAGCCAUCAUUUAAAGAAAGCGUAAUAGCUCACUGGUCGAGUCGGCCUGCGCGGAAGAUGUAACGGGGCUAAACCAUGCACCGAAGCUGCGGCAGCGACGCUUAUGCGUUGUUGGGUAGGGGAGCGUUCUGUAAGCCUGCGAAGGUGUGCUGUGAGGCAUGCUGGAGGUAUCAGAAGUGCGAAUGCUGACAUAAGUAACGAUAAAGCGGGUGAAAAGCCCGCUCGCCGGAAGACCAAGGGUUCCUGUCCAACGUUAAUCGGGGCAGGGUGAGUCGACCCCUAAGGCGAGGCCGAAAGGCGUAGUCGAUGGGAAACAGGUUAAUAUUCCUGUACUUGGUGUUACUGCGAAGGGGGGACGGAGAAGGCUAUGUUGGCCGGGCGACGGUUGUCCCGGUUUAAGCGUGUAGGCUGGUUUUCCAGGCAAAUCCGGAAAAUCAAGGCUGAGGCGUGAUGACGAGGCACUACGGUGCUGAAGCAACAAAUGCCCUGCUUCCAGGAAAAGCCUCUAAGCAUCAGGUAACAUCAAAUCGUACCCCAAACCGACACAGGUGGUCAGGUAGAGAAUACCAAGGCGCUUGAGAGAACUCGGGUGAAGGAACUAGGCAAAAUGGUGCCGUAACUUCGGGAGAAGGCACGCUGAUAUGUAGGUGAAGUCCCUCGCGGAUGGAGCUGAAAUCAGUCGAAGAUACCAGCUGGCUGCAACUGUUUAUUAAAAACACAGCACUGUGCAAACACGAAAGUGGACGUAUACGGUGUGACGCCUGCCCGGUGCCGGAAGGUUAAUUGAUGGGGUUAGCCGCAAGGCGAAGCUCUUGAUCGAAGCCCCGGUAAACGGCGGCCGUAACUAUAACGGUCCUAAGGUAGCGAAAUUCCUUGUCGGGUAAGUUCCGACCUGCACGAAUGGCGUAAUGAUGGCCAGGCUGUCUCCACCCGAGACUCAGUGAAAUUGAACUCGCUGUGAAGAUGCAGUGUACCCGCGGCAAGACGGAAAGACCCCGUGAACCUUUACUAUAGCUUGACACUGAACAUUGAGCCUUGAUGUGUAGGAUAGGUGGGAGGCUUUGAAGUGUGGACGCCAGUCUGCAUGGAGCCGACCUUGAAAUACCACCCUUUAAUGUUUGAUGUUCUAACGUUGACCCGUGAUCCGGGUUGCGGACAGUGUCUGGUGGGUAGUUUGACUGGGGCGGUCUCCUCCUAAAGAGUAACGGAGGAGCACGAAGGUUGGCUAAUCCUGGUCGGACAUCAGGAGGUUAGUGCAAUGGCAUAAGCCAGCUUGACUGCGAGCGUGACGGCGCGAGCAGGUGCGAAAGCAGGUCAUAGUGAUCCGGUGGUUCUGAAUGGAAGGGCCAUCGCUCAACGGAUAAAAGGUACUCCGGGGAUAACAGGCUGAUACCGCCCAAGAGUUCAUAUCGACGGCGGUGUUUGGCACCUCGAUGUCGGCUCAUCACAUCCUGGGGCUGAAGUAGGUCCCAAGGGUAUGGCUGUUCGCCAUUUAAAGUGGUACGCGAGCUGGGUUUAGAACGUCGUGAGACAGUUCGGUCCCUAUCUGCCGUGGGCGCUGGAGAACUGAGGGGGGCUGCUCCUAGUACGAGAGGACCGGAGUGGACGCAUCACUGGUGUUCGGGUUGUCAUGCCAAUGGCACUGCCCGGUAGCUAAAUGCGGAAGAGAUAAGUGCUGAAAGCAUCUAAGCACGAAACUUGCCCCGAGAUGAGUUCUCCCUGACCCUUUAAGGGUCCUGAAGGAACGUUGAAGACGACGACGUUGAUAGGCCGGGUGUGUAAGCGCAGCGAUGCGUUGAGCUAACCGGUACUAAUGAACCGUGAGGCUUAACCUU